CAAGUAUCGGUCUCAGCAGAUUGAGGAGAACACCACAGUGGUCACCAUGCAGUCCACUGAGGUUGGAGCUAC
rnacentral:pre_miRNA from 1 species